CGCGUAGGCGGUAUAAUAAGUCAGUGGUGAAAACCUGGGGCUCAACCCCGGGCCUGCCACUGAUACUGUUAAACUUGAGUAUGGAAGAGGAGAAUGGAAUUCCUAGUGUAGCGGUGAAAUGCGUAGAUAUUAGGAGGAACACCAGUGGCGAAGGCGAUUCUCUGGGCCAAGACUGACGCUGAGGCGCGAAAGCGUGGGGAGCAAACA
rnacentral:rRNA from 1 species